rnacentral:snRNA from 1 species
AUACUUACCUGGCAGGGGAGAUACCAUGAUCACGAAGGUGGUUUUCCCAGGGCGAGGCUUAUCCAUUGCACUCCGAUGUGCUGACCCCUGCGAUUUCCCCAAAUGUGGGAAACUCUACUGCAUAAUUUGUGGUAGUGGGGGACUGUGUUCCUGCUCUCCCCUG